rnacentral:rRNA from 1 species
AAUGGAGGAAACUCUGAUGCAGCGACGCCGCGUGAGUGAUGAAGGCCUUCGGGUCGUAAAGCUCUGUCGCAGGGGAAUAACACAAUGAAUGUACCCUGCAAGAAAGGAUCGGCUAACUUCGUGCCAGCAGCCGCGGUAAUA